AUUCAACAGUUGGCUUUUUCCAGCAGCACAACCGCAGAGGUUUCUGAUUUUUUCUCAAUCUAAACUACUACAUAGAGAGAGAGAGAAAGAGAGAGAGAGAGAGAGAGAGACGUUUCGUCUUUGGAGGACUCAUCUCAUAUCAUUACACAGAGACGUCAUUUCUUCGGACUCCUCAACCCCAUCGGCCUUGUCAUCUCACCUUCUUUCGUUGCUUGUCUGCAAGGUUUUCAAUGGAGUACAAAGAGGUGGAAGGUGUUCAGGGAGGUGUUCCCAAGAUUGGUGCAAUCUUCAUGUCUAACAUUGCAACAAAAGAAGAAUGUUUUAGACGGAAAAUUUUAGGCCUUCCUUCUGCUCAGGCAAACUUUGUAAAACAGGUUAAAGCUGGAAUGGUUUUAUUUCUAUUCGAAUUUGAGAGGAGAGAGCUUCAUGGUGUGUUUCGGGCAAGCUCUAAUGGGGUAAUGAAUUUAGUGCCCCAUGCAUUUAGUUCGUCGGGGAGUCAGUUCCCCGCACAGGUUCGUUUUACCCCUAUUUGGUAUUGUAGUCCACUUUCUGAACAUGAAUUUCGAGAUGCUAUUAAAGAGAAUUACUUUUCAAGGAACAAGUUCAACUUUGGACUGUCUGAAGAUCAGGUUUGCAGGCUACUAUGGUUGUUUAAUUCAAGAAAGUUAGAAAAUGAACAACUACCUGAGAGACACUUUAGUAGGCAAGCCAGCGAACCAAUUGGGAAAGACAGAAGAGAAGCUGGUAAUGACAGGAUUUUUGUGAGAAAUAGUGCUGAAAAAUUUGUCAAGGAAGAUGGUCUCAACCCAUCCAUCAAUACAAAAUUUUACGAGUACUCUUCAAGUAACGUUAGAAGACCUUCAAGUAAUGCUAGAAGACUAUAUGAUGACAGAUUUCUGAAGAGUGAUGGAACAGAGAAUGAACUUAGUAGUGACAAUUAUCAUGGGAAUGACAUCUUGACGGAGCAACCCAGAACAUCUUUAGGUAAAAGAAGAAGAGAUCAUGAUGGCAGGUCUUCAAUGCAAGAUAGGAUAGAAUAUGAUUGUGAUGUGGACAAUAUCUGCAUUGACCACCCAGGGGAUUCCUUGUGUAAAUCAGGGAGAGAAGCUGAAGAAAGCCAGCUUCUUCCAAGUGACAGAAUUGAAAUUAAGCGUAUCAUGGACAGAAAUAUUGGGUCUAUUUUUACAUCUGAGUACCUUGCGGACUCUUUGGCUGAAGUACAAAGAGCCACCGAUGAUGUCAGGUUUCCAAUAAGGGAUAUUUUGGGAGACAAACGUACUCCAGAUAAUGGUUUUGGAUUGGUCACAUCAACUGAUCACCUUGAGAACCCUGCUAUUAAAGCAAGAAGAACAACUGAUGAUCACAGAUUUUUCAUGGAUUGUAGGGUAGAAAAUAACUGUAACUUGGACAAUGGUCUUGAGCCAAUCAUCUCCACUGAUUGCCAGGAGAACCUUUUGGGUGGAGUGAGAAGAGCAAGCGAUGAUGGGAAAUUUGUUCUAAAUGGUAGGAUGGAAAGUGAACAUCAUGUGGACAAUGGUUUAAGGCCGUUCUUAUUGGCUAAGUACUUGGAGAACCCUCUUGGCAAAGUGGAAAAAGAAACUGAUAAUGCCAUGUUUUUGAUGAGUGAUAGAGUGGGAAUGGGAAAUGAGCAUUUUGCAAACCAACUGGAUUAUGGAAGAAAAGAAAAUGACCGUGAUAGGUUUUUGGCGCGCAUGAGUAUGGAAAAUGAACAUAAAGUUGGCAAUAAUCUUGGGCAAGUCAUCUCAACUGUGCACUCUGGGUAUCCCUUGGAUAAAAUAAGAAGAGUAGCUGAUGAAGGCAUGUCCUUAAAUAUCGAUAGAGUGGAUAAUGCAUUCAAUAUGGAAAAUUGUUUUGGGCCUCCAUUGUCAACUGGGUUCAGCGAUUUUUGUCAGUCUAGGCAAAACCCUUCAUUCUAUUCAAGCAAGCCCCAAUUGGAAACAAAUUAUUCUUUUUGUCAAGAUCAACAAAAGCCUUGUUCUGCAUUCCCUCGUUCAAUGGAACAAAAAACCUUUGAGUUCUCUUAUCCAACAUCUCAUGAUGCAAUUGUUACAAGAGCUUUUCCUUAUGAUCCUGAAUUCCCCGACAUUCAUCAUAGACGCUCAUCAUCUGUUGCGGUUGAUUGCACUUCUUCUCACUCAGUUCGAGAUUUUACUCCUCAUCGGAGUUCUUUUGGGAAUGUCUUUGAUUCUUCUGUGAAACGGGCAUCACCAUAUCGUUUGGAGGCAAAAGAUUUAAGCCAGAACCUUGAUGUUGCUUCUAAUUGUGUAAAUAAAGUUUCCUUGCCGACCAACCCCAACCAUUCCUUGUUGAGUGGUGGAUAUGGAAAGGUGGAAGCAAGAGUCACUGGUCAUGAAGUCUAUAAAGAGCCUCUAUUUUCCAAGUCCAGUUCUGCUUCUAUACCUAUUUCAAGGAGCGAAAUCUAUGAGAGGCAAGCCAAGAGCCCUUACGUUGAGUUUGGUAAGCAUGGCGAUGCAUCACAAAGCAGAUACAAACAUAAAAUUCCACAGCAUGAGACUAAUCAAGCGUUUAGAAUCCAGGAUGCUCCUUCUUUUGACAACAACAUGGGCGAUUUACAAUGUGGUUCUUCCCAUGAAAAAUCAUACAACAGUUAUAUUGAGUACUACCAGCAUUCAAAGGGCAUGUGCGCUGAUUCUAAAAGCGAGAGAAUUAGCGUUUUUUCUCGUUUGACUUCAGCAUCGGAACUACCUGGGCAAGAAAAUGAUACUUCGGAUUGUGAUGAAUGUGAUACGGAUGCAUCUGUCGAUCAAGUCAUGGACAUGCUACAUCAGAGACUGAAUCACAGGAUAAUGAAGCCAGGAAAGCUUCCAUUAGUUAGACGGCAUGAUAUGGAGAACAUGCGUAGGACUAAAAGGCGGGAUACGAUUUACAAUCAAAUAGCGUGUGAUAAAUUGACAAUGAUGAAAAAUGAUCUUGAACAAGUUAUUGAUGAUAAUUGCGAUGACAUAGCGAAAGAGACACGUGUUGUGGAUUUUAGGCGCCGGAGUGAAACUAGGGAAAUUCAGGGUGGGACCAAAACAAAAGGUUCUGUUAAGACUGUAGUUGAUGAGACAAAAGGCUCUGUGCAGAAACCAGAGCAUAAGCGCAGAAAGUUGGUUAGGCCGGUGUUUGGUAAAAAAGAACAGUUGGAUGAAGGUUUAAGCAGCGAUGGGAAUUCAAAUCUGCAGCUAAGCUGCGAUGAUUCAGUUAAAAGUCAAGAAAAUGAGAGCCGUUCAUCGCCAAAUGAUUUGUUGGUGCAGUUGACAUCUGCAACUAGUUGUGGAGGCGAUAGUGCUAAUGUUGAACAAAGUUCAAACUGCAGAGAAAAAAAUUCUGAAAAUUGUGAGUUGGUUUGGCUGGUUUCUUGCAGAAAAGAGUUGUUCCAUGAAGACAUUAACAACAAUGCCAGUUUGAAUUUGCAGCUAUAUUCUCAUGAAGGUUCUAUUACCAAAGAGAAUACUGAAAGCUGUGGUAACAUAUGUGAAGUUGGUAAUACCAAUGGAGACAGUUCAGAUUGCAGAGAAAGAAAUGCAGUAAAUGGUGGGUCAUUAUUGACAUGCGAUGAGGGUAAAGAUGGGAAAAAGAGCCGUACCUGAAGAUGGACUAGGGGAGCUUCCAUUUGCACACCACAUUUCUUUCAGUUCAUACCAUUUUUUUUUGUUUGUUCAGAUAUAAACUAGUGAACAAAAAUCAAUAGUUUGGAUAUCAACUACCAAACAAAAACUCAUGGUUGGAAUAUCAAGUGCUGAAUCGAAGGUAUAGCCGAACUAUGGGUUUCUGUUUGAUAGUUGUAUUUGAACCAUUGAUUUUUGUUCAGGUGGUAUUUGAAUGGAAAAAAUAGUGUGAACUGAGAAAAACAGGUGACUAAACAGAAGCUUCCUCAUGAAUGAAGGAUGGUGGUUGUCAAAUACCUAGCAUGCACACAAUGGAGAACAGAAAUGUUUCCGCUACGUCGCUCGAAAACUUACCCCCCGAAUCCCCCGAAAUUGAUAAAGGUGAGUUUUUAGAUCACUGUCAAUCUACCAACACCGCGCGUGAAAUAGAAGAAGAAAAGAGAGGAGAGGAGAGAAAGAGGAGCCCGUCGAAGAAGAAUACCACUGAGAUCGACCACCGACCUGGGUGGCCACCGACGACCAGCAAAAACUCUGCCGAAGUGACUGUGUUGUUCGGCAUUUCUUCUUCUGAGGCCUCUGUUUCUUCUUCUUCAUUCUGUUUCUUGUCCAAGGGUAUGUCUCUAUUUCUUCUUCUGAAAUCUAGUUCAUAGAAUGCUGCUGUUUUGUUAGUAAUGUAUUUAUUGAUUUAGUAGUGGUAAUCUUUGUACAUAAUUUUAUAAAAACCUAGUUGAUUUAUACAUAAUUUUAUAGAGGGAAAUGUUUGAGAACUCGACCGGAGAGAGAAUUAUGUAUAAAUCAGCUAGGUAUUAUCAGACUCCAAAAUUAUGUUUAUAGAAACCUAGUUCAAAAAUGGUAUUAUCCACAAAUGGAUUUCUGAAUUUGUGGACUAACCUAGUUCAUUCUGAAUUUCUGUGCUAUUCAUCUAUUUGUGGAUUUCACAAAAAUGAAUUUGUCGAUUUCAGAAUU